rnacentral:siRNA from 1 species
UCGGAGGACUGGAAAUUAUG